ensembl:lncRNA
AAUUACCUCCUCUUCUUCCUCCUCCUUCUGCUCAUCUUCUUCCUCCUCUUUUUUCUUCUCCUCAUCUCCCUUUUCCUCUUCUUCUCCUCCUCUUUCUUCUUCUUCGCCUUCUCUCUCUCUUUUUUUUUCCUAAAAGACUUUCCAUUCCAAAUCAGUGGAGAUAGUCUGUAAAAUUCUAGAUUUUGUUUGAAUGUUCUCUUCCAUGUAGAACAGCAUUCUUUCUCUGUUGGCAGAAGCAGCCCUUCAUCUAGGCCAAAGCAUGGCCAUAAUUCAGGCCAACAGGAACAAUGGGUUUGGAACAUAUUGUUAUUUGUUACCAGGACGGCUUAUAGCACACGACUUACCCUAAACAAAUGAACUCUAAAGGUUUGGAUUACCGAGGGCCAUAAAUUUAAAUGCACUCAGCUUAUCUUUGUUGGGGCUUACCUCUUCAAAGACAGUCUCCUACUUUAACUCCUACUAUUAUCUGGUUCUCUGUUUUAGCGGAGAUUUUUAAAAAGCCUGGACAGACUGAUGCUUGGGAAGGUUCAGAUGCUGAACCUCUAUAAGGGAGAGAGAUCUGAGAGCAGGAGCAGCAUCUCUGCCAGCAGGGGUCAGCCCUGCUGGCUGCUCACAGCAGGCACCCACAAGAUGAAAUUACACAGCGGCUUCGUGGUGAUGAGAAGGGUGAUGCAGUCUCCUCAGGCCUCCUUCAAUGCAGGGUGCGUGUGCACGUGCCUGCAAACGUGACUGUGCGUGCCUCUGGGCACGUGACUGAACGUGACUGUGUGCGUGAUCCUGCACGUGACUGCGCUCCAGUGUGCGUUGCCUGAUGCCGAGGCGCUGCAGCGUCUUAGCUCCAGAACCACAUGGAGAAAGUUUAGGAAGCGGACACGGGCUUUGAUUUCGGGGCCUGUGAGUACAUCUCCCUUUAUUCGCACAUUCCCUCAAUUGCUUGCCCUUCCCAUCCCGAUCUUUCCCUCAGCUAAAUAAUUAACUGUGAUUAUUUUUGGAAGGUUGGAUUUGGGAUUAUUCGUGUGUAUUUGGGAUUAUUCGUGUGUAAGGUGUGUUUCUUUUUUACGUCUUUAUUCUCUACCUUUUCUGUGAAUGCG